AACGAACGCUGGCGGCAUGCCUAACACAUGCAAGUCGAACGAGACCUUCGGGUCUAGUGGCGCACGGGUGCGUAACGCGUGGGAACCUGCCCUUAGGUUCGGAAUAACUCCCCGAAAGGGGUGCUAAUACCGGAUAAUGUCUUCGGACCAAAGAUUUAUCGCCUUUGGAUGGGCCCGCGUUGGAUUAGUUAGUUGGUAGGGUAAAAGCCUACCAAGGCGACGAUCCAUAGCUGGUCUGAGAGGAUGAUCAGCCACACUGGGACUGAGACACGGCCCAGACUCCUACGGGAGGCAGCAGUGGGGAAUAUUGGACAAUGGGCGAAAGCCUGAUCCAGCAAGGCCGCGUGAGUGAUGAAGGCCUUAGGGUGGUAAAGCUCUUUUACCCGGGAUGAUAAUGACAGUACCGGGAGAAUAAGCUCCGGCUAACUCCGU
rnacentral:rRNA from 1 species